rnacentral:rRNA from 1 species
UGGGGAAUAUUGCGCAAUGGGGGAAACCCUGACGCAGCAACGCCGCGUGAGUGAUGAAGGUUUUCGGAUCGUAAAACUCUGUCUUUAGGGACGAUAAUGACGGUACCUAAGGAGGAAGCCACGGCUAACUACGUGCCAGCAGCCGCGGUAAUACGUAGGUGGCAAGCGUUGUCCGGAUUUACUGGGCGUAAAGAGUAUGUAGGUGGGUGCUUAAGUCAGAUGUGAAAUUCCCGGGCUUAACCUGGGCGCUGCAUUUGAAACUGGGCAUCUAGAGUGCAGGAGAGGAAAGUGGAAUUCCUAGUGUAGCGGUGAAAUGCGUAGAGAUUAGGAAGAACACCAGUGGCGAAGGCGACUUUCUGGACUGUAACUGACACUGAGAUACGAAAGCGUGGGUAGCAAACAGG